CAGCGUCACGAGUGGCAAUCGUAUUUAUUGGGCCUAAAGCGUCCGUAGCCUGUUUAAUAAGUUUUUUGUGAAAUCGUUGCGCUUAACGUAACGUUGUGCAAAAAAUACUGUCAGACUUGGAACUGGGAAGAGCUAGAGGUAUUCUGGGAGGAGCGGUAAAAUGCUAUAAUCCUCGGAGGACCACCAGUGGCGAAGGCGUCUAGCUAGAACAGAUUCGACGGUGAGGGACGAAAGCCAGGGGAGCAAAACGGAUUAGAGACCCGAGUAGUCC
rnacentral:rRNA from 1 species